UCAAACUUGGUCAUUUAGAGGAAGUAAAAGUCGUAACAAGGUUUCCGUAGGUGAACCUGCGGAAGGAUCAUUACUGAGUAACUCGAUCUUCGGAUCGGCUACCCGCCCUCAUGUCAUCUGUUUUGACGGGGCGACGUGCCGGUUACACGGCAUUGUUGCCCCCGAACCAUACUUCCCAGGAGGUGUUAUUCUUCACUACGUGAGGGGUGACCGCCUGGGGCCUUUUUAAGCAACGCUUGUUAAUAAUAUUGAAUGUCUGAAACCAAAAAUCUUGAAAGAGAUUGAAAAUAUAAAGCAAAACUUUCAACAACGGAUCUCUUGGCUCUGGCAUCGAUGAAGAACGCAGC
rnacentral:misc_RNA from 1 species